rnacentral:rRNA from 1 species
UAUAAGACUGGGAUAACUUCGGGAAACCGGAGCUAAUACCGGAUAAUAUAUUGAACCGCAUGGUUCAAUAGUGAAAGACGGUUUUGCUGUCACUUAUAGAUGGAUCCGCGCCGCAUUAGCUAGUUGGUAAGGUAACGGCUUACCAAGGCAACGAUGCGUAGCCGACCUGAGAGGGAGAUCGGCCACACUGGAACUGAGACACGGUCCAGACUCCUACGGGAGGCAGCAGUAGGGAAUCUUCCGCAAUGGGCGAAAGCCUGACGGAGCAACGCCGCGUGAGUGAUGAAGGUCUUCGGAUCGUAAAACUCUGUUAUUAGGGAAGAACAAAUGUGUAAGUAACUAUGCACGUCUUGACGGUACCUAAUCAGAAAGCCACGGCUAACUACGUGCCAGCAGCCGCGGUAAUACGUAGGUGGCAAGCGUUAUCCGGAAUUAUUGGGCGUAAAGCGCGCGUAGGCGGUUUUUUAAGUCUGAUGUGAAAGCCCACGGCUCAACCGUGGAGGGUCAUUGGAAACUGGAAAACUUGAGUGCAGAAGAGGAAAGUGGAAUUCCAUGUGUAGCGGUGAAAUGCGCAGAGAUAUGGAGGAACACCAGUGGCGAAGGCGACUUUCUGGUCUGUAACUGACGCUGAUGUGCGAAAGCGUGGGGAUCAAACAGGAUUAGAUACCCUGGUAGUCCACGCCGUAAACGAUGAGUGCUAAGUGUUAGGGGGUUUCCGCCCCUUAGUGCUGCAGCUAACGCAUUAAGCACUCCGCCUGGGGAGUACGACCGCAAGGUUGAAACUCAAAG